ACCAGGGUGAAACUCAAGACGGACAUUACGCUUCUCUUCUUCCUGAUGAAUCCAGCCUCCCGUAUUCUGUGGUUGAGCUCAAACACCUUAAAAAGAAGGAGAAGCACGAUGAACCAGACGAGAGCCCCGUUUACUCGGAUGUGAGGAUCCCAUCAGCUGCAGGAAAAUCCAGAUGUGCAGCAGAAGAGGAAACUCUUCUCCUCCUCUAUUCUGAAGUCAAACCAGGAACAUCUGAUCAAUAAAGACGUCCGUGUGGACAAAACCACCGACAUGAAAAACAAUCUCUUCAGGAUAUAAGAUGUGUCCUUAAACAGCUACAGAGCAGACAGCUUGGUGUUCUGUGGAAGCCUCUUCCCUUGUUGUAGUCUGCUUUGGAUGGAUGAGGUUCUGGUUAAAAAGGAUCAUGUGAUCUUUGCAGGUUUCUUCAUCGUAUCCAGAGAGGUAGAGUCCAAAAAAAGAGCGUUGAUCUUUCUUUCCCCGAUACGCUAGCAAACUCACAGCAAAGACUCAUCGCUCAGCGUGUAAAUGAUGCGUUUCUGUAGUUUGUGCUGUCAAAGCUAUUAUGGGAACUCUGGAUUAUUUAACCAGAUGAAAGUGUAUCUUUCUGAAUAUUAAAAAAUGCAGAUUUAUCUCCCAUUCUACAUUAUGAGGGUUGUUUUAAUCACAGCUGUGGGUCAAUAAAGCGAACCAAUGACUUAAUGUCUGAA